GCAGGCCCCACUCUACAAAGAGGUUGUGUUCAGAAAGUUUCUUUGUGUAUGUUGUUUGUUUCCAACACAGAAUGCAUUUUUCACUGGAAACAAUGUUCCCAGACUAGCCCACAAAAGCCUAUUUAACCCACUAUGCUAAGUAGAAAACAAAAUGAGCUGAAAUUCUAGGAAAUACAACAGGGAAACUGAGGAAGAAAUACAAUUUAAGUGUUUAAGUGUUUAUGCUGAGUAUUGGUGCUUGGUGAAAAGCAGCUUCCAACAAAGAAGAAUGAAGCAGCAGAGGUCAGGGGCGUGGAAGAUUCAGGGAGCGGAGUGGAGGCCCAGGCGUCAUGGCCAAGCUGCAGCUCUACAUCUGACAGGGCUGUGGACCAAAGCCCAGCGUGUCCUGGAGCAGCUAGGCCUGGGCUGGUCUGAGCAUUCCUGCAGAUUCCUGCAGAUCCACACCACACAGAGGGCAGGCGGGGCUGACACAGACACUUCUCCCCAGUGAAUUCUGGAGGCUGGAGUCAACCUAUAAGAAUUCUUCCAUGAAGCCAAAAUUGGAGUAUACGACAGGGGUGGCUCCCGGGCUUCAUGGAGUUCCGCAGAGAGCUUCUGCCUCCUGGGUUAUAGAUUGGGUUUCACCAUGUUGCCCAGGCUCGUCUCGAACUCCUGGCCUCAAGCAGUCAUCCAACCUGAGAUUACAAGCAUGAGCCACUGUGCUUGGCCAAAGCCUGUAUUUCUAAAUGAGAUCACAUUCCGAGGUUCUGGGGUCAGGGUUUGGACACCAUUGAACCCAUAACAGUAACAGUUCUUUCUCUCAAACAUUCUCCAAAGUAAGAAAAGUGUUUUACAUUUUGCUAUCUAAAGUCUCUUCCCUGCAAGAUGUUAUGAUCAAAGAGUUGGUUGCUUAUCAAGAAUGUGUGGAUACAAAAACUUCAACUCAAGUUGGUUCUGUUUGUGAGUAAAGUUGAAAACAAAUUCUUUGCUUUGUUUAAAGAGGGAAGCAUGUUACAAACUGUCUCAUUUCCAGUGAACUGUUCACUGCCUUCCACCCACACAAGCACAAGACAACACUCCUGGUGGCUCUUGCUGACAGCAGAACCUCUUACUGGGUCUUGAUUUCAAAGGAUCAUCAGAAUUUAUCCUCAUGGUUUCUGGUCUUCACUAGACAGCAAAGUUUCUUUUUACUUAUUGAAGUCAAGCAUACCUGGGUUCAGAUUCAAGCUCUAUCACCAACAGCCAGUUAGUAUGCUGAUGUCUCAGCCUCAGUUGUCAUCUGUAUGAGGGUGAUAACACCUCGUGGGCUGGUGGUGAGAUCUGGAGUGCCUAAUGCCUGGUAGUCAGUCCGCAAUUCAUGGUGCUCUUAUCAUGGGAGAAUAAUAUUUGGGGAAAUUUGAAGGACCUUUUCUAUCACUUGUUUGAGGCCUUCUGCACAUACCCUUCCAAGGUCAGAACAGUGGGCCUGUACCUCAUAUCAGCAGAGAAAAAGGUGUAAUUUGAAUGUGGCCUUUGGUUCUUAAACACACAGAAAUGUCAAAGGAGGAGGUAUUGUUUCUGGCCAUCUAUCCGCCUUUCUGAUCUGAAAUAGCAACAGUUUACUGUGCACAAAUGAGAUCAAUGCAGAAGAGAAGCAACUAUCCUUGGGGAGAGAAUGCUAAGUUUCGGGCUUGGGGUGCAAAGGCAGGAGUGGGUCUGGAGACAACCCUGGUGUCAGGCCAGAGGUGGUGGGGCCAGGGGCACACUGAGAUGUUAGGCAGGCAUGAUGGAGGAGACAGCCUCCGUGAGGAAAGCAGGGCAAGUAUGAGCAGAGGAUGGCAGAGAUGCUGAAGACAGGGCAGCCUCCUGCCUUUUAGAAUUUUGCCCAGGCCUGCCCUGCUGGGUAGACUUCAUUUUAAACUUUAUUUUUAAAUUCUUUUUUUGAGAUGGAGUCUCUCUGUCGCCCAGGCUGGAGUGCAGUGGCGUAAUCUUGGCUCAUUGCAACCUCUGUCUUCCAGGUUCAAGCGAUUCUCCCUCCUCCUGAAUACCAGGGAUUACAGGUGCCAGCUACCCCGCCUGGCUAAUUUUUGUAUUUUUAGUAGAGAUGGGGCUGGCCAGGCUGGUCUUGAACUCCCAACCUUGUGAUCUGCCUUCCUCAGCUUCCCAAAGUGCUGGGAUUACAGACGUGAGCCACUGCGCCCAGCCCUUCAUUUUAAACUUUGAAUUCCUUCCCUAAUUAUGAUUCCUCUACUCUGGCAGGAAGCUCCUCUCCAAGUGCCAGCUUCUUCAACACAAAGAUGCUUAAAACCCAAGGCCCCCCUCAUAAACUGAUUGGAACACGUAAGCAAUAGAUCAAGAGCAACUAUAAAAGUCUUGAAUGUGUUCCUUGAGGGACAUAUUAAAAAACCUUUGAGGGCACAUUCCCUCUUGCCUGGAGCUUUGGAAGGGGCAGUCUAUAAUUCGGGAAAGGACUCAGGCAGGUCUGUGGGAGCCAAAUUGCAUCAGCCCUACUUUCAAAAGUGUUAUCUUUUGCUCUUUGUGAUUGUAGCUGAAUUAGUUGAGUUGUGGUAAUAAAGGGAUAAGUGUCUAAUUACAUGUGAGUAUGCUCCUCAUCCCUCAAAGACAAUAUCCAGAUGUCCUUUAUAUCCCAAAUGCAUUAUUACCUUCGAAGUUUUCUACGUUUUUGAUACAAUGAUUGUCACCCAAUAACUUAAUGCAUUAACAAUGAGUUUUCUAGACAAAGUAUAAAUCCAGGUCAUUUCUUUUCUCCAAGCCUGGUUUAUCAUGUGAAAGAAGGUUGAAGGAGCAACAGCUAAGGCUUCUGAUUGUGAUCAAAUACUACAUCUUGAAAAGCAAUGGCCCCAGGCGUCUGUGGUGGGGAUUAACACAGAGCAGUGUGCAGCCAGCGGUAAUAAGCAGGUGAAAGUGGCUAAAAUGUGCAUCAAGUACUCCCUCAAAGGGGAAGAAUCCAUCCAGACACUCUUUUCAUUAAGCAAACACGUAUUGAGCACCCAGAAUGCAUGAAGGAACAAUGAAGAAAAGACUCACUUCUGAAAGUGCUCCCAAGGCGAGGCAGGUGGAGGCAGACCACAAGACCUCUUGGAAGGAUGAGUGCUGGGAGAUUUUUCCAGCGAUUGGUAUUCUGCAGCAGCUGCCUCACAGAGCCUGGAGAGCUCCAGCAAGGAUGGGCCGGAACUCCAGCUGCUGGUGAGCAAGUGUUCACUAUUUAUAGCGGGUGGGGGGCUGCGAAGGAAUGGAAUUUUUUCCUUCUGAGUAGGGUUGAUGCAACCAAAAGGAAGUGGGCUCUGAUGGAUAGUAAAGGAGAUUACAUGGAUAUGUAUAGCCUAUUACAGUACCUCUGAUACUCCAGCGUGCUUCAGAAUCACCUGGGGGCGCUUGGUGAAAGACAGAUCGUGGGGCCCCACCCCCAGAGUUCCUGAUUCACUGUGUAUCUUAGUCGGUUUGGGCUACUAAAACAAAGUACCACAGACCAGGUGGCUUAAACAACAAACAUUUAUUUCGCACAGGUCAGGAGGUUGAGAUGUCCAAGAUCAAGAUGCUGGCAGAUUUGGUGUUUGAUGAGGGCCUGUUUUUGGUUUAUAGACAAUGCCUUGCUCACUAUGUUCUCACAUGGCAGAAGGGGUGUGGGAGCUCCCUAGGGCUUCUUUUACAAGGGCACUCAUCCUCUUCCUGAGAAAUCUGUCCUCAUGACCCAAUCACCUUGAAAAGGCCCCACCUCCUAGUACCAUCAUCAGCUUAAGGAGAUGAACAGGGUGAAAAUGGGGUAAGGUAAUCAUGAAAAUUAUCUUUGUGGGAGACACAGACAUUCAGUCCAAUACAGUAGUGAAUGGCCCCAAAAUGUGCUGAUGUUGCUUGUUCAGAGACCAUACUUUAAGAACUGCUGCUCUUUUUUUUUCUUUUUAGACAGGAUCUCACUCUGUCACCAAGGCUGGAGUGCAGUGGGGCAAUCUUGGCUCAUUGCAACCUCUGCCUCCUGAAUUCAAGCGAUUCUCCUAUCUCAGUCUUUCGAGUAGCUGGGAUUACAGGCACAUGCCACCAUGCCCGGCUAAUUUUUUUUGUAUUUUUAGUAGAGAUGAGGUUUCUCUAUGUUGAUCAGGCUGGUCUUAAACUCCUGACCUCAGGUGAUCUGCCUGCCUCAGCCUCCCAAAGUGCUGGAAUUACAGGAAUGAGCCACCUCGCCUGGCCCACUGCUGUAUUUUAACAAGCGGGUUGUACGGGGAAAGAGUCAUUGUAUAUAGCAGCAGAUUGAACCAAAAGAAAGCAUUGACAUGCACCAAAAGACUCUGGUGAUCUUACUGACUGUCAAAUUAAAAUCAGUUGUUUCUGGGCCAGCAUUUCCAGGGCAAAGGCCUCAUUUUAUAAAUAAAGAAAACUUCACAAAAUGUAAAGGUUAGGACUCAUAAGGAAUAUAUAUCCACAUAAUUUAAUAAAAAUUAUUUUUAUUUCUCUUUCUUCUUGCUCCAGUGAAAAAUGCAGUUAAUUUGGUCAUCUGAUGACAUUAUACUGUUUGGAGUGAAGGCUGGCAAACUUGACCUCCUCUUUUAACUCCGAGCAGAGUCUAGCAUGGGUCUGGGGUUAAUGAGGCUGCCUCAGUCUUUGAUUAAGAGCCAGGGGAAAGCGAGUGGGUGUGCUCUGGAAGAAUGUGGCUUAUCUGCUGAGUAGACCAAGACCUUAGCUUUGACUUCCCGGUUUCUUGCAUGAGAUUGGCUUGUUCAGAAAAACCUUUGGUUCAGGUUUUUCUUUUAGAUUGAAUUUUGAUAUUUUACAUUUUCCUCAAAAAUUGUCCAUUUCACUCUGAUUUUUAAACUAUAGUUGUGCAAAUAAUUCUUUUAUAAGAAUUAUAGUUUCCUAUAUAUAGGUUAAUCUGUUAGUAUUUCCCCCUAUUUUUUAAAAUUAGACUAUAACCAGCUGACAGGUUCACUUUGCCCGCUGCCUAGACAGAGUUGAUUUAUCAAGACAGGGGAAUUGCAAUAGAGAAAGAGUAAUUAACACAGAACCGGCUGUGUGGGAGAGCAGAGUUGUUUUAUUUUACUUUAUUUUUUAUGUUUUGAGAUGUAGUCUUGCCCUAUUGCCAGGCUGGAGUGCAGUGGCCUGAUCUCGGCUCACUGCAACCUCUGCCUCUUGGUUCAAGCAAAUCCCGUCUCAGCCUCCUGAGUAGCUGGGACUAUAGGUGCCUGCCACCAUGCCUGGCUAAUUUUUUGUAUUUUAGUAGAGAUGGGAUUUCACCAUGUUGGCCAGGAUGGUCUCGAUCUUCUGACCUUGUGAUCUGCCUGCCUCGGCCUCCCAAAGUGCUGGGAUUGUAGGCAUGAGCCACCAUGUCUGGCUAGAGCUGUUUUAUUAUUACAAAUCAGUCUCCCUGAGCAUUCGAAGAUCAGAGUUUUUAAGGAAAAUUUGGUGGCUGGGGAGUGGAGAGUCAGGUCAGAGAUGAAAUCAUAGGGAGUUGAAGCUGUUUUCUUGCGCUGUUCAAGACCAGCUAAUGGAUUAUUUAUUAUUGUUGCUGGUUGUUUUUUUUCACCUCAGUGAACCAGCUCUUGGAUUUCUUUAUCCAUGUGAAGAACUGCAAAGGACCCCAGAUUUUUUUUUCUCCUACUUGCAAGCUAACAAGUUAGUCUGCCUGUGGUCUCCUAGGUGAGAGGUUUGUGCCAGUUCCCUAACCCCAGUUCCACCUACCACCAUGAAAGUCUCAUGAUAUCUGCACACAUAGUGGGGUACAGGAGAAAAAUUUAAGUCCUAAAUUUAGGGAACUGGAAUCUUUUAUACUAGACAGUAAGCUGGGUGCUUGGUUUUUGGUAAAGAUACUCUCUUUGUCUUGCAAAGCUGUUUGUUUGCUAUACAAACCUCCCUGAAAAAAAUAGUCCACAAGAAAGGCAGCCAGUGCCUCUGCCUCUGCCCCUGUCCUGAGGUAUGCAGGAACCAAGAGAUGCUGGAGAACUGUCUCCCAACAAUCAAUCCCACUGAUUUUGUCUCUCUUUCUUCCUUUCUUUCUUUCCUUCCUUCCUUUUCUCCUUUCUUUCUUUCUUUCUUUCCUUUCUCCUUCCUUCCUUCCUUCCCUCCGUUUUCUUUCUGGAUCUCAUUCUGUUGCUCAGCCUGAGUGUGGUACAAUCCUAACUCACUGCAGCCUUGAACUCCUGGGCUUCAGUGAUCCUCCCACCUCAGCCUCUUGAGUAGCUAGGGCUAUGAGCACAUGCCACCAUGCCUGGCUAAUUUUUUUAACUUUUCUGUAGAGAUAGGGGUCUUACCAUGUUGCCUAAGGCUCGUCUUGAACACUGUUUUCAAACCAAUUAUAUUCUUUCAUUUUUAGUUUCUUCCUUCUACUUUCCUUAUAUUUUAAAAAAUAUUUUUCUGUUUUCUUGAGUUGAAUAAUUACUUCCUUCACCUUCACUGUACUUAAGCUAAAAUGAUUUUAAGGUUGUGACUUUUUCUUCGACCAAAUAUUUGACUACAUUUCAUAAGGUUUAAUAAGUAGUGUUUUCCUUAUCAUUAUUUGCUAAAUUAUCUAGCUUUUCCCUGUUAUUUAUGGAAGUCAAAGGUUUUAUUUAUUUAUUUAUUGAGACAGAGCCACUCUCUGUCACCCAGGCUAGAGUGCAAUGGCAUGAUCUCAGCUCAUUGCAACCUCUGUUUCUGAGUUCAAGCGAUUCUUGUGUUUCAGCCUCCUGAGUAGCUGGGAUCAUGGGUGUGUGUACUGUGCCCAGCUAAUUUUUGUAUUUUUAGCAGAGAUGGGGUUUCACCAUGUUGGCUAGGCUGGUCUUGAACUCCUGACCUCAGUUGAUCUGCUCGCCUCAGCCUCCCAAAGUGCUGGGAUUACAAGUGUGAACCACUGAGCCUGGGCAGCAGUCAAAGGUUUUAAACAAAAUUAAUCAACCAUCUUUAGAUUCCCUUGCUCUCUUGGUUUGCUCUGGAAGCUACUUUCGUUUCCUAAGAGGUUUGUAGAUUAAAGCUAUAAAGCCCUUUAACAGGAUCUCUGUGACUUUUGUGUUUACUUGUACUUCAUUGCAAUUUAGGAGGAAAUGGAAUGUGGAAGAUAAAAGUCCAAGUCCUGACUCUACUACUUUGUGCUGGUAACCAAAUAUAUAACGCACUUUGAGUCUCACUUUUGUUUACAAAUGUAGGCUUGAACUUCAUUAUCUCUGAAGUCCUUUUCAAUUUAUGACUCUAAGAGAUUUUUGAAUUAAUUUCAAUUAAACUGGUUUAAUGAUUUCUAGGCUGACUUGUUAGUUGAGGCAGCAUGGCCAUAGAAACCGGUGAAGCUGGGUUCAACCCAUGCUGUGGGUGAGCAAAUGCUUCCAUUUCCUCACGUUUUCUUCUGUGACUCUCACGGAGGAGAGAAAAAAUCCACAUGGCAUUAGGGGCUCAUUUCCUCCCCUUUGGUGGCAUCUUGCCUGGGUUAGCUAAAGGGACAAAGAAGCUGAUGGCAGAGACUGAGCUCUGCAGCCUGUCCUUUCUACCAAGGCCAUUUCCUGGCUUGAGAAGCUCUAGCACUACAGUGUUAGCUAGAUGUUCAUCUGAGUAUUAGUCAGUUCUCACGCUGCUAGUAAAGGCGUACCCUAGACCAGGUAAUUUGUAAAGGAAAGAGGUGUAAUUGACUCACAGUUCCACAUGGCUGGGGAGACCUCACAAUCAUGGCAGAAGGUGAAUGAGAAGCAAAGUCAUAUUUUACAUGGUGGCAGGCAAGAGAGCUUGUGCAGGGGAACUCCCCUCGAUACAACCAUCAGAUCUUGUGAGACUUAUUCACUACCACGAGAACAAUAUGGGGGAAACCACCCCCAUGAUUCAGUAAUCUCCACCUGGCCUCACCCAUGACACGUGGAGUUAUUACAAUUCAGGGUGACUUGGGUGGGGACACAGCUAAACCAUAUCACCCUGCUUUUUUCUCUUUCUGUGUGUGCAGCACAACAGGGUCCUGACCAUCUUGUAACAGCCCAGGGGGUUCCCUUUCCCUGCUGCCCAGACAGAGCCAAUUUAUCAAGGCGCGAAUCACAAUGGAGAAAGAGUAAUUCAUGAAGAGCCAGCUGUGCAGGAGGCUGGAGUUUUAUUAUUAUUCAAAGCAGUCUCCCUGAGCAUUUCAGGAUCAGAGUUUUUAAAGACAAUUUGGCGGGUAGGGCCUUGGGAAUGGGGAGUGCUGACUGGUCAAGUUGGUGAUGGAAUCAUAGCGGGGUUGAAGUCAAGUUUUCUUGUGUCUUCUGUUCCUGGGUGGGAUCACAGAGCUGGUUGAGACAGAUUACCAGUCUGGGUGGUGUCAGCUGAUCCAUCCAGUGCAGGGUCUGCAGAAUAUCUCAAGCACUGAUCUAAGGUUUUACAGUGGUAAUGUUAUACCCCAGGAACAAUUUGGGAGAGGUUCAGACUCUUGCAGCCAGAAGCUGCCUGACCCCUAAACCACAAUUUUUUAAUCUUGUAGCUAAUUUGUUAGUCCUACAACAGCAGACCAGUUCCCAGGCAAGAAGGGAAUCUUACAAGGAAAGGGCUAUUAGCAAUUUUGUUUCAGAGGCAAACCAUAAACUGAAUUCCUUCCCAAGGUUAGUUCGGCCUACUGCCCAAGGAUGAACAAGGACCGUUUAAAGGUUAGAAGCAAGAUGGAGUUGGUAAGGUUACAGUUUUUAUAAAGGUGGUUUCCCUCUCUUGGGAUCUUUCCAUGGUGUGUCUGUCCCCUGUGCUGGGGGCUCUCUCUAGGGAUAAGGGGACCUCAGAGCCUAAUGAACACCCUGCUACUUCUCUGCUCAUUUUCCCUAUUUUUAACGUACGGCAUAAGCACUGCUAAUGUGUGUGUUUCUGUCCUUUCUGCACAGUCCGUAGUAUUUGAUGAGCAUCAUGCUAAAUGCUUUACCUCAUCUCAUUUAAUUCUGAUUACAAGAAUGAUAGUUACAUAUAUUAUUCCCAUUUUACCAAUAGGGAAACCUGGUGCUCAGAAAACUUAAGCCAUUUGCCCAAGGUCAGCUGCUGGAAGAUGCAGAGCUAGAGGCUGAAUUCAAAUUGUUUGGUUACUAAGCCACAUGAUUUUAACUCUAAGAGAGUCCGAUAAACAUCUUAGACAUCACAGAUGAUUUUCCUGCAGAUGGUGCUAAAGGGUCUUAUUCAAACAGAAUUAGUAUAUUAUGACAAUUUUUUCAACAGAUGAAGAUAAAGCAUAAGGGCCACUUCUUCUAAUUUGUCCAAAAGUCCCAUGUGGACUGGCAGCAGCCCUGUUAUAAUAUGACUCUCUCUGAGGAGGUAACUAAUACUGCUAAAAGAAAAACUUUGGCUGGGGGUGGUAGCUCACACCUGUAAUCCCAGAACUUUGGGAGGCAGAGGCGAUAGGAUCACCUGAGGUCAGGAGUUCGUGACCAGCCUGGCCAACAUGUCGAAACUCUGUCUCUACUAAAAAUACAAAAAAUUAGCUAGGUGUGGUGGCAGGUGCCUAUAAUCCCAGCUACUCAGGAGGCUGAAGCAGGAGAAUUUCUUGAACCCGGGAGGCAGAGGCUGCAGUGAGCUAAGAUUACCCCAUUGUACUCCAGCCUGGGCAACAGAGUAAGACUUCGUCUCAAAAAAAAAAAAAAAAAAAGAAAGAAAGAAAGAAAAGAAAAAAGAAAAAGAAAAACCUCAGCUGACUUAAAUUUAAAGCAGUUUAAUUAAGCAAUGAACAAUUUGCUAAUCAGGCUGCUAAUCAGGCAGCCCCCAGAAUCACAGCAGACUCAAGAGACUACAGCACAGCCACAUUGUGGAAGAAGAAAAGGAAAUGGGAAAUGGAAGUGAGGGACAGAAAGAGCUGGAUUGGUUAUAGCUCCAUGUCUGCCUUAUUUGAAUAAGUUGGAACAGUUGGUUACAUUUGAUUGGCCAAAACUCAGUGAGUGGCACAUGCGUGGGCUAUAGUUGGUUUACACCUCCACUUGUUAUAGUUCACAAUGUACGGAAAAACUUUUAGGCCGAACUUGAAUAUGUAAGGAGGAAGCUUUAGGCUAAACUUAACAGUACAUCAUGAGGAAAGUGCCUUUUUAAGAAAUGAAAUGUUAAAUUUAAGAUAAUUCAGCACUCAUGAGAGUGCUACAGGUGGCAGUUCAGAGAAGCCAACACAUUGACCUUGGAGGUCUUCUGGUGAACGUUUUCUGUUUCUUUCUUUUUUUUUUUGAGAUGGAGUCUGGCUCUGUUGCCCAGGCUGGAGUGCAGUGAUGUGAUCUCAGCUUACUGCAACCUCCCAGGUUCAAGUGAUUCUCUUGCCUCUGCCUCUGGAGUAGCUGAGAUUACAAGUGGGUGCCACCACAACUGGCUACUUUGUAUAGUUUUAGUAGAGAUGAGGCUUCACCAUGUUGGCCAAGGUGGUCUUGAACUCCUGACCUCAAGUGAUCUGCCUUGCCUUGGACUCUCAAAGUGCUGGGAUUACAGGUGUGAGCCAUUGCGCCGGGCCUCAGGGUGGACCAUUUGAGACAAUCACAACUUCUUACUCUUUCCUUACUGCUCUGUUGAUACUUGCUUCCCAGAUCUAGUGGGGGAAAUUAUAGGCAACUAGGUGUCCAUAAGAGUUCCACAGCAUUGCUGCUUGAAGGAAAUAAUUUGUUCUAUUGUUGAUAUGGAAGUUGAUGAUUAACAACUUUUUUUUAAGGCAGAUGGGAGCAAUCUUCAUUUUUAAGAAGUUAGCUCUAUUAUGUUUCAUGAGCUAAAAAUGACCCUUUGGAUCCAGAAUGCAUAGAUCCAGAUGGGGCUGUAGAGAUCCCCUACCUUCCUGACAGCAUUUUGUUACAAAAUAUCCUUUAAUUCUUUUCCAUACAGCUCAAAUGUCCUACUUCCACAUGCUAUUUUCAGUUUUUUGUGAGCAAAAUACUCUUCUGAGAUCUGCCAGCACUCACAUUAACUCAUUCUCUUCUUUUCUCCAUGCUCAGCAAAUGAUGGAUUUUUCUGGAGUCCAACGGGACCCCAGCCUUCUAGACUCUCUCUUGACUUGACUUUCGUUUGGUUUAAACAGAGUAUCACUUCAGGAGAGCCAGCAGCCUUCAGAGUGCCUGGAGGACCUGUGAGAGUGAAUCCAUGUAUGCACACUUUCCACACCCUGGCGUGUACUGCAUGUAUCCACCUCUGGGCAAUGUGCCUCCCAAGUGAGAGUGAUGCUCACAUGGGCUUGUAAAGGCAGGGGCAAGACAUUGUGGUCAGACUCUACAACCAUAUGUUUAAACGCCCAUUCAUGCAGAUGCUGAGAAAGCCACACAGAAACACACACACAGCCAUAGAGAAACAGACAUAUUACCUAGAGAAAGCAGAUGGAUGCAUGGGGGUCUUCCUGUAAUAGGCACAUGAAAGCCCUCAUGGCUCUUGAGUUAAAAGAAUGCCAGGCUGGGCAUGGUGGGUUACUCCUAUAAUCCCAGCACUUUGGGAGGCUGAGGCAAGUGGAUCAUGAGGUCUGGAGUUCGAGAGCAGCCUGGCCAACAUGGUAAAACCCUGUCUCUGCUAAAAAUACAAAAAAUUAGCCUGGCAUAUGUCUAUAAUCCCAGCUACUUGGAAGGCUGAGGCAGGGGAACUGCUUGAACCCAGGAGGCAGAGGUUGCAGUGAGCCAAGGUCAUGCCAUGCACUCCAGCUUGGGCGACAGAGCAAGACUCCGUCUCGAGGAAAGAAAAAAAAAAGAAUGCCAGGAACUAGGAGAAAGGUAAAAUACGCACAAGCUCAAGAAUGAGAAAACUGCCUUGUCCUGAUGAGAAUAAGUCAUGGACAGCCAAAAGCAAAAUAAUAAGGCCCUGGAAUUUGGUAUAAACGCAGUGCCUCACUUGUAAUCUAGGACAAGAAAUGUGAUUCCCCAUCACAACCCAGACUGAGCGCUGUGAUGACUCAGGAAUGCCCCGAGUGGGAAAGUGGCUUCAUGUCAGUUAUAUAUAUGACUUGUAUGAAUAUCUCUUUAAUCUGUUUAUUUACCAUUUUGCUAAUUCCAAGUUCUUCUAAAUUAGUGUUCUGAUAAUUAACUGGGCUUCCUGAGAGGUCUCUAAGUACUGCUCAACUCUGUAGAAUUUCAAUAAUACCAAAGAUAGUUCCCCUUGGCACUUUGGUGGGGAUAUUCUCUAGGGAAAUAUUAAAUCAGCUAUAUCUUCCACUACAAAAUAAUAAAUAUUUCCUGGUGUAUAAAUUAGUCCUCUGAGGGUUUGCUUAAUAUAAAUUUAUCUAGUAGAAUUUGAAUUAAGAAAACUGUUUUCUUUUCUCUUUAACAUCAGCCAAAAUGGCACUUCCUCAGGAAUUCAUUCCCAGCCUCUCAGAAGUAAUCCCAUAGCUUUCAUGCAUUCAUUUAUUCAUUCAUUCUUUUGACAAAUACUUAUUUAGCACUGAAUAUGUGUGAGACCCCAUUCUAGGUACAUCAAUGAACAAAAUUUUAAAAACCACUGUGUGGUGCUUAUAAUCCCAUGGAGAUGGCACCUCGUCCCUCCUCUUGUGGAGUGUUGCAUGCUGUGUAGUUACUCAUUUGCAUGAUGAUUUGGUUGUCAGUUUUUUCCUCUUAUGUAAGAUCCACAAGGACUGUGUCAGAUUUGCUAACCAUCGUUGACCCCAGUGUAGCACUCACACAGUGCCAACUUGCAAAAGAUGCUAAAUAUUCAACAAAUGCACCAAUUAAUAAACUCUCCAGCUUCAUGAUUGAAUUCUGGACCUCAAACAACUGUUCCUAAGCCCUCAGAACCUAUAAUGUGUGUGCGUGCUUGGGAAAUUCUAAUGAGUGUUUCUCUUCAUCCCAUUCAGUCUCUUGCACAGCCACAGCAGAGUAAAACAGUAUGGUAAGGAAAAAGGUGGCCCUGAGUUAGAUUUCCUGAGCUGUCCUUAGCUCCCAGUUGUGCAGAAGCUGCAUCAAGAGCUGGUGACCUUACCAUGGGGCCUUCUGUGAGCCCUGGAUGAGUGGCCCCACAGUAGUGCUUGGAGUAGACCAGCUAGCCAGCUGGAGAAAGUGGUGAGAAGUCCAAGCUGCUGCAGCAAGAACUGAAAUGAGGCAGGGUUGGUAAGAGAGGAAUUCCCCAUCCCACCCCUGCCAUGUUUCUUCAUUGCCUGCCUUGAAGUUGCUGAACUGGUAGUUGCCAGUUUCAGCAUCGGAAGCCAGUAGCACCAAGGUGAAGGGGAGCAUUGUCUGUAGACCAGCAGAUUGCAUCCAGAGACAAGAACCAAGCCAAGGUCACACCCUCCACCCAGCACCAUGAGAAUAGUCAAACACAUGCUCGUGCAUCAAUCAACACAUCAGAAGGAUGCCAAAUAAGUUUCUAAACUGGCUGGUUACCCUGCCAUGGUACAGGUGAAAAUGGUCAUCGAUAAGGGAAUGGAUGACCACAGAGAAAGAACUCUAACCACAGCUACAUCAGGACAGCCCAGGGGAAAAGUGCCCAAUUGUGCUACUUGGAUCACACAAAGCUGGAAAAUCCCAUGUCAUUCCUCCUGGGAAGGCAAACGCGGAUCUCACCCAUUUCCUUGUCUUGCUGGAUUCUUCAUUCCUCUUCUGUUGGAGAACUGGCUAGACUCCCCAUUCCAGAUGAGCCAGGGACACAGGGGCCCCUUUUCCCAUACAUUUUGGGAGAGAUGCAGGGAUGGGAAGGGCUACCUGAAAGAGUUUGUUUUUUCUUUUUUAUAGUCAUAUUACUGAGAUAUUUACAUACAAUAAAAUCUUAGAUUUUAAGUGUAUAGUUUGAAUUUUGGCAAACAUACUUGUGUAACCACCACCUCAAUCAAGAUGUAGAACAUUUCCACCACUACAGCAGUUGUCAGUCCUGAAGGAGUGCACAUUUUUAUCCAAGAAAGAUUGAGCCCCAAAGUAACCCACAAAAUGAUUAGAUUGAAACAGACUUAAACAUGGUAGGACUCAGGUAGAUUUUCUUCUGACAUAUUCAGCGUCAGAGCCUAGGAAGAAGACCAGACUAAUUAUAGACGAAAUAAAGUGGCUACGUUUUGUCUGUACGUCCCGUCCUAAUUCAGGCGUGGGCUUCUCACCACUUUCUCUAUCUGGCUAGCUGGUCUACUCCAAGUCCUACUAUCCAGGGCUCACAGAGGGCCACCAGCCCUUGAUGGCUGUGAGCUAACUUUGUGUCCUUGUUGUAUUUGAGAAGUUGAAGGCUUUGGUAAGGGAAAUUAAGAGAAUUGGGACACAGAGACUGGAACUGGGCAGAAGAGAACAUUUAGGUAUAGAGGUAGGUAAGGGAAAAGUCGGUGAUCAGAGAAGUAUUGUGUGACUCCAAAGCCAGUGCUCCCACAGGCUAACGGGCGCAGACACACUCUACCUUUUCCUAGUCAUAGGCAACAACAGAGGGCCACACAGCCUUUCUACUGGGUGCUUGUGCAGCAUUCAACCACGUGCUUAUGCACUCAUGGGGAGCAUGAAGCUCUGACAUUCUCCUCAGUGCAAUUCGAGGUGAUGACUUGGGUGGACUUGCAGCAAUGAGCCAGACAAUAAGCACCGAUUGUGCAGUCUUUGUGAUCCACGUUAAACUGAGCUCAGUAGAAAAUGUUCAUACAUUUGCACUCAUAGAUUUGCCAAAUGAUUGUGGUGCCUAAGAUGUUGGGCUAGGAGUUGUGUAUGUGUGUGUUUGCGGGGAGGGGCCAGGUGGUAGGACCAAAAGUGAAAGAGCCAGCUGAUGCCCUUGAGGAGUAAUGCUCCAGUAGGAAAGGUUAGACUUGUAUAUAAAUAACUACAGGGCCAAGUUAAAGGUUGUAAGUGCUACAGCAGAGACAAAGAUAGAAUGCUGGGGGUGGGGAAACUGGAAAGAGAAACUGAUUUGUGCUCAUCCUUGCCCGGUGGACAGGUUCACAAAAAUAACUUCAUGCAAUUCUCCAAACAACCUUAAGAUGGAUAUUUAUAAUAAAGGACACUGAAGUUUAGGGAUAGCAAGUGACAUCCCAUUCCAGAUCACAUAGGCAGGAAAUGACAGAGCCAGGAUUCCAAUCCAGUAUUUCUAACUCAAAAGCCCAUGUUUUAGGUUGGGCAUGGUGGCUCAUGCCUGUAUCGAGGUUGAGGUGGGUGAAUCACCUGAGGCCAGGAGUUUGAGACCAGCCUGGCCAACAUGGCAAAACUUCAUCUCUACUAAAAACAAAAAAAUGAAAUAAAAUAAAAAUUAGCCGGGCGUGGUGGCACAUGCCUGUAAUUCCAGCUAUUUGGGAGGCUGAGGCAGGAUACUUGCUUAAACCUGGGAGGUGGAGAUUGUAGUGAGCUGAGAUUGGACGACUGCACUCUAGCCUGGGCGACAGAGUGAGACUCCAUCUCAAAAACAAAAUAAAAAAGCCAAUGUUUUAUUCCCUGUACCCGUGGUCUCAAACUGGGGAACCUAAUCCAGAUGUAUUCAAAGAUAUUUCAAAGGGUAUGUGGGCACAGAUAGUUUUAAGGAUAUGGUCAAUUUUGUCUUCCAAACCUGGCUUAAACGUCAUUUCCCACCCACUUGCUUUUGCUUUUCUGGUAUCUUGCCUCGCCCCUUGGAAGGAGGAGUCUGUGUCUCUUCCCCUCAAUGCUGGGUGAGCCUCUGAAACAUGUUAACUGGGAGUUGGCAGAGUGAAGCUGCGUGGCUUCUGAGGUGAGGUCACACAGGCAAUACACCUUGCUCCUGGCUUGCUCUCAGGAUGCUUGCUUUUGGAGCCCACUUACACCGUAGUUAGGAAGCCCAGGCACCAUGGGAGGCCCGCAUGAAGGCCCUGUGUCGGGGGCCCGCAACACCACUCCAGGUUAGACGAUUCAAUGCUGGGACUCACAGGACUCAGUGUGUGGUUGUGGUUUAUUUAUUACAGUGAAAUGAUAUAAGGGAAAAUCAGCAAAGGGAAAAGGCACACAGCAAAGUCAGGAGGAAACAAGACAAAAGCUUCUAAUAGUUCUUUCCCAGGGCAGUCCCAGAGGACACAUUUAAUCUCUCCAGCAACCAGUUGUAACCACGUAUUAGUCUGUUUUCAUGCUGCUGAUACAGACAUACCCAAGUCUGGGUAAUUUAUAAAGAAAAAGGGGUUUAAUCGACUCACAGUUUCACGUAGCUGGGGACGCCUCACAAUCACAGUAGAAGGCGAAAGACAUGUCUUACAUGGUCAUAGACAAGAGAGAUUGAGAGCCAAGUGAAAGGGGUUUCCCCUUAUAAAACCAUCAGAUUGGCCGGGCAUGGUGGCUCACGUCUGUAAUCCCAGCACUUUGGGAGGCCAAGGUGGGUGGAUCAUGAGGUCAGGAGUUCAAGACCAGUCUGGCCAAGAUGGCGAAACCCUGUCUCUACUGAAAAUACAAAAGUUAGCCAGGCGCAGUGGCAGGCGCCUGUAAUCCCAGAUACUCAGGAGGCUGAGGCAGGAGAAUUGCUUGAACCGAGGUUGCAGUGAGCCAAGAUUAGUCACUGCACUCCAGCCUGGGUGAUAGUGGGUGAUAGGGUGAAACUCCAUAGUCUCAAAAAAAAAAAAAAAAAAACAAAACCCAUCAGAUCUCAUGAGACUCAUUUACCACCCCAAGAAUAGUAUGGGGGAAACUGCCCCCGUGAUUUCCACCGGCUCUCUCCCACAACAUGUGGGAAUUAUGGGAGCUGCAAUUCAAGAUGAGAUUUGGGUGAGGACACAGUGAAACCAUAUAAAACCACAUGUGUGAAAUGUUGUCUAUCAGGAAAGGGCUUAUCGGCACAGUGCCUGAGGUUCUUAUCGUGGUCUAGUCAUGUAGGUACUCCUUGCCUAGCACAUUUUUGGUAGAAGUAGUUUAAGCACGGUGAACCACUAGUAGGCUGGUGGGAAUCCUCUCCAGAUUCCCUUUCCUAAAUACCAGCCAAAGACCAAACAGGUCUUUCUAAGGAUAGCAACCAGACUUGCUAUUUAAUUCUUCUCUUCACAGGGCCCAGUCUCUGGCCUCCAUCCUGACUGAGAUCCUAGUUGACAGCAGGCAAAAAUGUACCGUCUGUAAGUUGGAGCCACCUUAGAGUCAGACUCCCCCAUCUGUGGUUGAGCCACACCUGCUGACACCACGUGGAGCAGGGACAAGCUUUGCUCACUGAACCCUGCCCAAAUUAUAGAACUGUGAGCAGAGUAAAUGACUCUGAUUAUUUUAGGCUACUAGGUUUGGGGUUGUUUGCUAUGCAGCAAGAGAUAGGGGGUUGUUUUCCAGAUUCUAAUCCUCUAUAGAUACUCUUCUAAAAUUGAUCAUGAUAGGAAGCUGGGAUCAAGACAGUGCUUUCAUAAAGCCUAUUUUUUCAUUUUUCAAAGUAAAGGUGUGUCCCCACCCUAGCUGGCUUCUGCCAGGCUUCCUUGUCCUAGAUCAGGGGUCAGAAAACUUUACCUGGAAAGGGCUACAUAGAACAUAUUUUAGAAUUGUGGGCUACAUGCUGUCUCCUGUGUGUGUUGGGGAUGUUUUACAACCUUUUCAAAAAUAUGGAAACCAUUCUUAACCUGAGAGCUGCGUGAAAGCAGGCCAGGCAGGAUUUGAUCAGCACAAACUGGUUUGCUAACCCCUGUCUUACGUAAUUAAAAAGGCAAAUGUCAACAACAAAAACCCCAAACCAGCAAACAAACGAAGCAAAACCUCCAGUGCAGCAACCAAAGGACAAUUUGAAAUGAUGUUAAUAGUGAAAUAGAGCAUGACUCACACGUUUGGGUAACAGAAUCUUUUGCAAGCCAGGUGGUUUCUAAUUAUCUGCUUCCAACUGUAUUAAAGGAGAAUCUCAUCAAGUUUUUCGCUGGUAGAUCUUUAACAAUAAUUUUGGAUAUCAGAUCUCUGUGGUUGUUGAUCUAGAACUUGGAAGGGAUUCAGAAAAUUAAGUAAAAUUGCAAUUACAAAAUUCAUUUCUACUUACUUAUGUCAUCAAUAUUGUUUGCUUAUGUCUAUAAAAAAAUGAAAAUAGGAACAGCAUUCACUUAGAAGCCUGUCUCAUUCUAGUAAUUAGUAAUAUUAACCAAAAACAAAUGAACGAACAAACAAAGCACACCAGAAGUAUUUGGAAUAAAAACGAGUUCUAUCUUAUUAAGAUAUAUGUUAAAUAAAAUUUUACUUUUUAAAAUAAUGAUUUCACAAAAUUUAUAUAUAUUUAUGUUAGCUUUCCAAUAGUCUACUACCACUAAUUGUCAUGAUAACUCAACUCAGAGUAAAAUUUUUAAACACUCAGAGCCUAGUAGUCACAGGAGAUUUAAAUAAAUUUCUAUUUCAAUUUCUAGGCAUAUUUGCAGCAGAGAUAUGUGAGAAAGUAAUCAAUAAAAUUGGAAUAAAAUAUAUUAGCAUAACAUUUUGCUGGAGUAGUAGAAUAGAAAUAAAAGUUCAAAAAGAAAAAAGAAUACAGAAUUUUCUGUUGUCAAGAAGAGCUUAUUUUAAUUAAUUAAUUAGUUAAUUAAUUGAGUCUCACUGUUAUCACCGAGGCUGGAGUGCAGUGGCGCAAUCACGGCUCACUGCAACCUCCCCCUCCCAGGUUCAAGCAAUUCUCCUGCCUCAGCUUCCUGAGUAGAUGGGCUUUCUGAGUAGACAGGCAUGCCCCACCACGCUCAGCUAGUUUUUAGUAGAGAUGGGGUUUUACCAUGUUGGCCAGGCUGGUCUCAAACUCCUGACCUCACUGCCCACUUUGGCCUCCCGAAGUGCUGGGAUUACAGGCAUGACCUCGCCAAUUUUUGUAUUUUUAAAAAUAAAUCAUGGUGGCUCUCAUAUUCCUAUGGUUUUUAGAUUCCACUGGAUAUAUUUAAAGAAGUGAUGUGACAUUUAAAAAAUGUCAAUAUUUACAAUAUACCAGGCAAGCAGUUCUCAAAGUGUGGUCCCUGAGCCAGCAGCAUUGACACCACUUGGGAACUUUAUAGAAAUGCAAAUUCUCAGGCCCUACCCAGACCCACUGAAUCAGAAACUCUGAGAACUGGUGGGCUUUAACAAGCCCUCAUGUGAUUCUGAUAUAUGUUGAAGUUUGAAAACUACUGCAUCAAAAAUUACAUAUUUUGCAGCUACUUAAACUGAUAAAGAAAAUAUUUUUAUGUUAAUUUAAAAUGUGUAAGGAGACACAUUUUGGUCUCCUUACACAUUUCUGGCCUCACAAGAAAAUUAUUUGAGGAAUAUACAAGCAAAAAUGUCUGAGUACCACUACACCAUACUGCACCUCUUUACAUCUUUAGACUCAAGAGAGUUUUUUUCCCUCUGAGGAAAACAUGGAUGGGGACACACAUGAAAGAUGGUGUCACAUGGAACUGGAUAGGACUUGGAUACACAGGAGAGAGAAGAACACUGCAGGCAGAGAGAAGAGUGUGAAAAAGGCUCAGAGGUGGGAAAGCGCAGGUGUGAGUGAGGGAAGAGUUGGGCUGGGCUGGAGCAGGAGUGUGGGUAGAGAGUAGUUGGUACUAAAUUUGCAAAGACAAGAUUGCAGUGAUGAUGCCAAAACUUUAUUUGGAGCAGGAGAGAGAUGUGGUCAGUGUUGUGAAUUGGAGCUAGCCUGGAUUGGCUUAGGUGGGAGAGACUGGAGGCAGUGCAAGUAGAUGCUAGAGCCAUACCCUGGAGCCUGUCUUCACUCUCAGAGGGUUGCCAUGAGCUGGAGCGGUUCUUGCCCGCCAUCACUGAAAAAUGCAGGUAGUGCCACCCACCCCAGAGAGACUGGCACACCCUAGGGACAGAGAGCAUCGUGUUGCUGUUCUGAGGCAGCUGUGGCCCAUCUGUCGUUUUGGGCUUUCGCCUGUUGCCACGUAUUAAAGCCUUGCCAUUCCCUAAAUAGUGAUCACGCUCACCUCCUGAGGUCAAUGAGAUGACUGCAAAGUGCCAGGAGUUGCUCAGGCAGAAGGAAUUCACGAACUCUUGGAGCACAUUACUGUUAUCUUUGUUUCUGUUUAACCAAGGACGCACCAGGGAGCAAGGGCAUUACAUCACCAAAGCAAUCUCCCAUUGGCUGUCCAUUUCCCAAGGGGCGGGUUUUCUUUCCAGUUGUUUACUUCUCCUAAGUAUUACAUGCAACACAGAGGCAAGUCCUGUCACUUCAGUUUCCAGAUUCAGGGCCUCUGAUGUCAUUAGGUUACAGCAAGAGAGUGAGAUAACACAAUGAUGGUAAAUUUUAGUUGACAGAAUUGAUGUACCUUAGAGUAGGAUGCUCUGAGCUUCAUAUUUACUCCUUUCAGGCUGAUUUCAAUGCUGCAUUACUACAUUAAUUCAUAAUGCAGGAUACACGAGGAACAAAGAUAAUAAAAUUAUGACACCAGCUUUUCUACUUAGUAUCAUAUAAAACAUUACUACAUUAAUUCAUAAUGCAGGAUACACGAGGAACAAAGAUAAUAAAAUUAUGACACCAGCUUUUCUACUUAGUAUCAUAUAAAAUGCAAUGCAAAUGAAUUGGUUCUGUCGGUGCAUUUUAUCACAGAGCUUCAACAUACAGUUCCUGCGAGGAUUCCCUUCCAUGUUUUUGUGAGUCUCAGUUGCCAUCCUAGUUUGUUUGUUUGUUUUUUUUAGAUGGAAUCUCACUCUGUUGCCCAGGCUAAAGUGCAGUGGUGCGAUCUCGGCUCACUGCAACCUCUGCCACCCCGAGUAGCUGGGAUUACAGGUGCCCGCUACCACACCCAGAUAAUUUUUGUAUUUUUAGUAGAGACGGGGUUUCACCACAUUGGCAAGGCUGGUCUUGAACUCCUGACCUCAGGGGAUCCACCUGCCUCAGCCUCCGAAAGUGAUGGGAUUACUGGCGUGAGCAACCGCACCCGGCCACCAUACUAGUUUUUAUUAUUUGCCUCAUUUCUUGAAGAUUAGUAACUGAACUGAUUUAUUAAAAUGUCUUAUACAAUUAUGUUGAAGAAAAGAAGGAACUUGUCACAAUUGCUUUUCUCUAGACUUGAAUUUGAUGUUCCUUUUGGAUGAGAAGCAGAGUUAAAAACGAAUACCUCAUUUUUUUUGGCAGUUAAAAAUCAACAUAAUUCAAAAGUGGAGUUUUGCUUAAUCCAUCAAUCCCAACCAUUUGAUGGAAAAAAUAUAAAUAAUAAAAUUUCAAAGGGAUUUUAUUUUAAAAUAGCCACCGGGCAUGUACAGUAAUAAAAUUUUUAAUGGCUAUUUUAUUUUUCAUUUCUGAGUUCAUUUUUAGUGAAAUUACUUGCUGGUGAACAGAACCAGAGUGAUAGCCUGAGAGAGAAAAUUCAUUCUUUUCUGAAAUAACAGAAAGCAUCAUCCUCUGGUGAUAUAGAACCUUUCUCUCAGCAGCCUCACCCAGUCUCCUGCACAUUCCCUCGGGGCUGGUGGUGGGAGCAUUACCUUGCCUGCUACCUGGCUGAUCUUGUAGUUAUGGAGUGAGAAACCCCUGAGAGGUGCCAACACUUUUCUGAGGACACACAGCCACUGAAUCAGGUAAAACCAGAGCCUCCAGACUUUGGGGAAGAUCUCUGCCCCACACAUGGCUCUCCUUAGAGAAUUGUACACCAAGCAGCUUCACAUUUUUCAGUCGUUAGAGAUACGGAGGCUUCAGGGAAAUGAAGGCCUCCUAGCCUCACAACAUGCAAGGAUCUGCCCCAGGAUGGGUGAUUUUCUCUCACUCACGCUAGUCUUCAUGGAGCAUAGACAAAACUGCAACAAUGUCCAAAGGAACUCUUCAAUAAAAUUGUGUUUUAUGUAUAGGCUCA